AAUGAACGCUGGCGGCGUGCCUAAUACAUGCAAGUCGAGCGAAAAGACGAGGAGAUUGCUCCUCUGACGUUAGCGGCGGACGGGUGAGUAACACGUGGAUAACCAACCUAUAAGACUGGGAUAACUUCGGGAAAAAGGUGAUAAUAACGGCUAAUAUAUUGAACCGCAUGGAUCAAUAGAGAAAGACGGUUUUGCUGUCUCUAAUAGAUGGAUCCGCGCCGCAUUAGCUAGUUGGUAAGGUAACGGCCUACCAAGGCGACGAUGCGUAGCUGACCUGAGAGGGUGAUCGGCCACACUGGAACUGAGACACGGUCCAGACUCCUACGGGAGGCAGCAGUAGGGAAUCUUCCGCAAUGGGCGAAAGCCUGACGGAGCAACGCCGCGUGAGUGAUGAAGGUCUUCGGAUCGUAAAACUCUGUUAUUAGGGAAGAACAAAUGUGUAAGUAACUAUGCACGUCUUGACGGUACCUAAUCAGAAAGCCACGGCUAACUACGUG
rnacentral:rRNA from 1 species